rnacentral:rRNA from 1 species
ACUCAAAUGAAUAGACGGGGACUUGCACAAGCGGUGGAUCAUGCGGCUCAAUUCGAUGACAAACGAAGAACCUCACCAGGGUUUGAAACUAAGACGAAACUCCUAGGAAACUAGGAGCCCCGCAAGGCGGCUUAGCAGGUGAUGCAUGGUCGUCGUCAGUUCGUGGCUUGAGUUGUUCCCUUCAGUGGGGUAACGAACGCAACCCUCGUUGCCUGUUUUAAUUGUCAGGCGAGACUGCCCCCUCACGGGGGAGGAAGGUGAGGAUGACGCCAGAUCAGCAUGUCCCUCUGAUAUCCUGGGCUGCACGCAUGAUACAAUGCACUCGACAACGGGUCGCGACGGAGUAAUCCUGAGCUAAUCCUUAAACGAGUGCCCAGUUCGGAUUGAGGUCUGCAACUCGACCUCAUGAAGCCGGAAUCGCUAGUAAUCGCGGGUCAGCUAUACCGCGGUGAAUACGUUCUCAAGUCUUGUACACACCGCCCGU